GCAGCCGGUUAGCCGGCUCCAUCGAAUUAUAAGACGUUGUCACGUCAAUGAUCGUCGUGCUUUACGAUUAAAUACCUCACACACAACUCGCAAAGUAGCACGAUUGACGAAUAUUCGCCGAUUACACGAGUCGUAUGGGACCGGCUUAAUAUCAAGGCUCUUUGGUUUACGCCAUACGGUAACAGUGAAGAUAUAAUAAAUAAACGAGGGAUUACGCUCAAUAACGGUUUAAAAUAAAAGUAACCGAUGCGAACGGACAGCGAAUCGAAGGGGAAAGAAACUUGGUGACUUCCGGUGCAAUGCCAGUAUAACACCGAUUGUUGCCCCAUGGGAUGUGCCAAGUGAACAAGAUGCAAUACCGGAAUUAUUCUGACUAUUGUUGUCUGAAUCAAAAACCGCUCAACCCGUUUGGAUGGAAGUACUUCUUCCCUAGUUGUGUAAGUCGACCCGUGUCAAUUAUAUAUAUUGAGUUUAUGGGAAUAGUACCGUAGAAUUCGAAAAUAGUGCCAUAAAUGAUUUGGGAUUUGAAUUCUCAGAAAUAUAGACAUUGUAACGAGACAACAUAUUCCUGAGUAUAGCGUACAUUCUAAUAUCGCCCUCAAGGCGUCAAAACCGGCUGAUCAAAAAUUAUCAUCGAAACUCAUUAGACCAGGUAGCGCGCGAUGAGCCGACCAUUUAGGAACCCGCAUAUAUACCACCGAUUGCUAUACAGAUAUUAGACACUUCUAUUGUUGACAUAAGGAGAUAUCACACAUAUAAUGGUCACGAAAUCUGCGUUCAACACAUUCCCCUGUGCCUGGACGCGCUGUCGAUUAUGCAUAUGGGCACGACUGAUUCAAAGUAAUCAUCGUGUCAUACGUAUUGCCUAAUCCAUAGUUGCCCCAAGUACUCACAUUACCCCGUGAACAGCAACACAGUGUUCCGUACCGUUGAAGAGAGUGUGAGCCGUCGCCGUCCGAGUGUAACGAGCCACCAGCCGACCAGUGUCCGCCCACAGUACGUGAGAGCCCAGUACGAACACUAAUAUCUCUGUUUAGUAGUGAGUAAUAAAUACUUAAUAAUCUAUGUCGUGUAAAAAUGUGUAAACUCGACAACGAGUAUUAUAUGUAACAAUUGUAUACCGAAU